CCAUGCUCCUCCUUGGCGUCCUUGCUUAGCCGCUACUCCUUGCAGGCUGCAGUGGCAGCAAUUUUUUUUGAAUUUGUUUUCCCUUAAAUGUACUCAUAGCCGUUCCCAUAUGAACGCUUUAUUUUGUGAAAUCGAAAGAGAUGUUUUAGUAAAGCUUCAAAAACUGAUUAUGUGAUGGACAGUGAAACCGUUCAAGAGAAUACUGGCCAUACCAGUUCAGUGAUACCUGAUGAUCAGAUGCCAUUCAUCCUGUGAGAGUUCUCUCAAACCAGGUUGAUAGCAAGGUUGAUAGUCAAAUAGUUGAAGAGAACGUGCCAGUUCAGUGAUCUCUUGCUGCAGAUGCCAUUAGUCAUGUGACAAUUCUUUCAAACGUACCAAGUUGAUAGUCAAAUAGAAGAAGAGAAUACUGGCCGUGCCAGUUCAGUGAUCUCUUGCUGCAGCCAUCCAUCCUGUGACAGUUCUCUUAUACCGGGUUGAUAUUCAAAUAGAUGAAGAUAAUACUGGCCAUACCAGUUUCAGUGAUAACUGAUGAUCAGAUGCCAUUCAUCCUGUGAGAGUUCUCUCAAACCAGGUUGAUAGCAAGGUUGAUAGUCAAAUAGUUGAAGAGAACGUGCCAGUUCAGUGAUCUCUUGCUGCAGAUGCCAUUAGUCAUGUGACAAUUCUUUCAAACGUACCAAGUUGAUAGUCAAAUAGAAGAAGAGAAUACUGGCCGUGCCAGUUCAGUGAUCUCUUGCUGCAGCCAUCCAUCCUGUGACAGUUCUCUUAUACCGGGUUGAUAUUCAAAUAGAUGAAGAUAAUACUGGCCAUACCAGUUUCAGUGAUAACUGAUGAUCAGAUAUGCCAUUCAUCCUGUGACAGUUCUCUCAGGCCACGUUGAUAGUCAAAUAGUUAAUAGUUAAAGGGAACACUGGCCGUGCCAGUUCAGUGAUCUCUGCUGCUGAUGCCAUCCUUUUUAUGACAGUUCUCUCAAACCAUGUUGAUAGUCAAAAUAAAUGAUGAUAAUCUGUCAGCGGACACUUGGUUGUGUGGUUAGAGUACCCGCGCCGUGAUUCGUUGAGUCGCACGUUCAAGUCUCUUGCUGGAAGUUCAUUUUGAAUUUUCGCCUUUUGCGCGGAAAACUGUUUCUGUUGAUUAUUUAAAUUCGUAUUUUGUAACCGGAAUUAUAUAUGUAUUGGUGUCGUGGUUAGCACGCUCGCCGUGUAAUCAUGAAGUCGGUGGUUCGAUACUCCAUCCAGACAAAUGUUUUACUGAUUUUUUUUUUCGCCAAUCAAUA